CAGAGAGAUGGAAAGACAUCAAAGAAUGGGCAGGUCUGCCAAGAAAUGGUUUAUCCAGGGCUAAGUACAGAGAGGAAUAUAGAAGGGCUGUUGACAGAUCUUGUGUGGUGCCCCCAUGGUUCAACAGACUAAUUGAUUGGUAAUGAAAAUAAUACCAGGGUUAUGCUCCUUUGACCAUUGAGUUCCAGGAUGAAGAAUGAAAGACAGAGAGCAAUGUGAAGACAUGAAAAAAUGGGCAGGUCUGCCAUGAAAUGGUUUAUCCAGGGCUAAGUACAGAGAGGAAUAUAGAAGGGCUGUUGACAGAUCUUGUGUGGUGCCCCCAUGGUUCAACAGACUAAUUGAUUGGUAAUG